rnacentral:lncRNA from 1 species
GUAGUAGAUAGUUCCAGUAUACUACUGUCUAAACUGAGGUAGUAGAUAGUUCCAGUAUACUACUGUCUAAACUGAGGUAGUAGAUAGUACCAGUAUACUACUGUCUAAACUGAGGUAGUAGAUAGUACCAGUAUACUACUGUCUAAACUGAGGUAGUAGAUAGUACCAGUAUACUACUGUCUAAACUGAGGUAAUAGAUAGAUACCAGUAUACUACUGUCUAAACUGAGGUAAUAGAUAGAUACCAGUAUACUACUGUCUAAACUGAGGUAGUAGAUAGUUCCAGUAUACUACUGUCUAAACUGAGGUAGUAUGCAGCCAGUACAUCCGUUCAGCAAGGCCUUUCUCUCUGUUGUGAGAUGGUGAGAUGGUAUAAACCAUGUGAGAUGGUAUAAAUGGCAAGUAAUAGUCAUUUGGCAGAAUGUUUCGGUCCAUAAAAGUUCCCUGUAAUGUUUCCAGUGGAUAUUGAGCAGCUUGUGUUAAAGAGAAGGGCAGGGGGGGACGUGAGGGGAGGCUGGGUAACUGCACCGCCUGGGG